rnacentral:rRNA from 1 species
UACAGAGGGGGCAAGCGUUGUUCGGAAUUACUGGGCGUAAAGGGCGCGUAGGCGGCCUUCUAAGUCGAACGUGAAAUCCCCGGGCUCAACCCGGGAACUGCGUCCGAUACUGGAAGGCUUGAAUCCGGGAGAGGGAUGUGGAAUUCCAGGUGUAGCGGUGAAAUGCGUAGAUAUCUGGAGGAAUACCGGUGGCGAAGGCGGCAUCCUGGACCAAUACUGACGCUGAGGCGCGAAAGCUAGGGGAGCAAACGGG